rnacentral:rRNA from 1 species
UACGAAGGGUGCAACCGUUGCUCGGAAUCAUUGGGCGUAAAGCGCACGUAGGCGGUUCGUUAUGUCGGAUGUGAAAGCCCUUGGCUUAACCGAGGAAGUGCAUCCGAAACUGGCGAGCUAGAGUACUAAAGAGGAUCGCGGAAUUCCCGGUGUAGAGGUGAAAUUCGUAGAUAUCGGGAGGAACACCGGUGGCGAAGGCGGCGAUCUGGGUAGAUACUGACGCUGAGGUGCGAAAGCGUGGGGAGCAAACAGG